AAUGAUAUUAAUCGCCAAUUGUGAGUAAGUUUCAAUAAUUUUUAAAUAUAAAUAUUAAUUUGGGAGUCAUCAAAGUGUCUCAUAGAUGUUAACUGCUACUAAUCAUGUCAAUUUAUGAUCUAACAUCAUUAUUAACUCUUGUUUUCACUUGUAACAUGAUUAGAUUAUUGUCAUGUGUUCUGUGUACAUUGUAGAAAAAACAAAAAUCAUAAAUAAUUAUUCAAAAAAUAGAGAUGACAAUAUGUUUGUCAUUCCCAUGUCCCUAUAAAUAAAUUGGAGUCUUUUUCCAAAUUCCGAUUUCUGUCCAAUAUUGACUUUGGUGAAAAUGUUUUUCAUAUUAUUUGAAACUUCAUUAAACCUAUAAAGCAGACUUUUUAAAUUUUACUAAGCAUUUAACAUUGGCGAGUUUCUUGUUUAAGAAUUUUAAGGGAUAUCUAAAAAUUAUGAAUGGUUUGUAAGUAAAAGGGUUAGCUGGGCUUUGGUAUUUGAAAACAAUACAUCAUUGUACUGCAAAAUAAGUCAUCACUUUCAAUCUACUGGCAUUACAGUGCUGAUUUGUACUGAAAGGCUGGCAGUCUGAAUGACAAUCAUUCUACCCUGUGUCAUCACGUACUGCUCAUUCGUUUUUCAAUUUGAAUAGUAAAAGUCAAAUGUACAACAUCAUACAUAAAUCAUCUUCCCGAAACCUGCAAAAUAUUUUGCUCUUUAAAGAAAACUUUUUUUUUUUUAAAUAUUAAAAUAAAAUAUCUAUAUCUUGACCAAUG